AUUGAACGCUGGCGGCAUGCCUUACACAUGCAAGUCGAACGGUAACGCGGGGCAACCUGGCGACGAGUGGCGAACGGGCGAGUAAUGCAUCGGAACGUGCCCAGUAGUGGGGGAUAGCCCGGCGAAAGCCGGAUUAAUACCGCAUACGACCUACGGGUGAAAGGGGGGGAUCGCAAGACCUCUCGCUAUUGGAGCGGCCGAUGUCAGAUUAGGUAGUUGGUGGGGUAAAAGCCUACCAAGCCAUCGAUCUGUAGCUGGUCUGAGAGGACGACCAGCCACACUGGGACUGAGACACGGCCCAGACUCCUACGGGAGGCAGCAGUGGGGAAUUUUGGACAAUGGGCGCAAGCCUGAUCCAGCCAUGCCGCGUGCGGGAAGAAGGCCUUCGGGUUGUAAACCGCUUUUGUCAGGGAAGAAAAGCUCCGGGCUAAUACCCCGGGGUCAUGACGGUACCUGAAGAAUAAGCACCGGCUAACUACGUGCCAGCCGCCGCGGUAA
rnacentral:rRNA from 1 species